CAGUCCAAGAGCCUUCAAAGCCCUUAGAAAACAAACGAGUUUAACUUCUG
rnacentral:tRNA from 1 species